UACAGAGGGGGCAAGCGUUGUUCGGAAUUACUGGGCGUAAAGGGCGCGUAGGCGGCCUUCUAAGUCCAACGUGAAAUCCCCGGGCUCAACCCGGGAACUGCGUCCGAUACUGGAAGGCUUGAGUCCGGGAGAGGGAUGCGGAAUUCCAGGUGUAGCGGUGAAAUGCGUAGAUAUCUGGAGGAACACCGGUGGCGAAGGCGGCAUCCUGGACCGGUAUUGACGCUGAGGCGCGAAAGCCAGGGGAGCAAACGGG
rnacentral:rRNA from 1 species